rnacentral:miRNA from 1 species
UAAAAUGCAGAUUCUGGUUCAGGGAGCCUGAGAUUCUGCAUUUCUAACAAGCUUCCAGGUGCUGC